rnacentral:rRNA from 1 species
GAUGAACGCUGGCGGCGUGCCUAAUACAUGCAAGUCGAGCGAACAGACGAGGAGCUUGCUCCUCUGACGUUAGCGGCGGACGGGUGAGUAACACGUGGAUAACCUACCUAUAAGACUGGGAUAACUUCGGGAAACCGGAGCUAAUACCGGAUAAUAUAUUGAACCGCAUGGUUCAAUAGUGAAAGACGGUUUUGCUGUCCCUUAUAGAUGGAUCCGCGCCGCAUUAGCUAGUUGGUAAGGUAACGGCUUACCAAGGCAACGAUCAGUAGCCGACCUGAGAGGGUGAUCGGCCACCCGGGAACUGAGACACGGUCCAGACUCCUACGGGAGGAAGCAGUAGGGAAUCUUCCGCAAUGGGCGAAAGCCUGACGGAGCAACGCCGCGUGAGUGAUGAAGGUCUUCGGAUCUUAAAACUCUGUUAUUAGGGAAGAACAAAUGUGUAAGUAACUAUGCACGUCUUGACGGUACCUUAUCAGAAAGCCACGGCUAACUACGUG